ACCCGUCUUGAAACACGGACCAAGGAGUCUAACAUGUGCGCGAGUCAUUGGGUGGACUCUAAACCUAAAGGCGCAAUGAAAGUGAAGGUCACGCCUCGCGCGGACCGAGGGAAGAUGGGGCGCGCGGCAGCGCCGCUCCCGCAUUCCCGGGGCGUCUCGUUCUCAUUGCGAGUUGAGGCGCACCCAGAGCGUACACGUUGGGACCCGAAAGAUGGUGAACUAUGCCUGGCCAGGACGAAGUCAGGGGAAACCCUGAUGGAGGUCCGUAGCGAUUCUGACGUGCAAAUCGAUCGUCGGAGCUGGGUAUAGG
rnacentral:rRNA from 2 species